GCUAACAGUGAGAGUGUCUCCGCUCUUUAGUGCUCAAGUUUACGCAUUUAGCACUCCGCCUGGCGAGUACGGCCGCAGGGCUGACACUCAAAGGAAUAAACGGGCGCCCGCCCAAGCGGUCGCGCAAGUGGUUUAAUUCGAAGCAACGCGAAGAAUCUUACCAGCUCUUGACAUCCUCUGAAAACCCUAGAUAUAGGGCUUCUCCUUCGGGAGCAGAGUGACAGCUGGUGCAUCGUUGUCUUCAGCUCGUGUCGAGAGAUGUUGGGUUAAGUCCCGCAACGAGCGCAAGCCGUGAUUUUAGUUGACAUCAUUAAGUUGGGCACUCUAAGGUGACUGCCGGUGACAAACCGGAGGAAGGUGGGGAUGACGUCAAAUCAUCAUGCCCCUUAUGACCUGGGCUACACACGUGCUACAAUGGACGGUACAAAGAGCUGCAAGACCGCGAGGUGGAGCUAAUCUCAUAAAACCGUUCUCAGUUCGGAUUGUAGGCUGCAACUCGCCUACAUGAAGCUGGAAUCGCUUGUAAUCGCGGAUCAGCAUGCCGCGGUGAAUACGUUCCCGGGCCUGGUACACACCGCCCGUCACACCACGAGAGUUUGUAACAACCGAAGUAGGUGGGGAUCC
rnacentral:rRNA from 1 species